GAUGAACGCUGGCGGCGUGCCUAAUACAUGCAAGUCCAGCGAACAGAUGAGGAGCUUGCUCCUCUGACGUUAGCGGCGGACGGGUGAGUAACACGUGGAUAACCUACCUAUAAGACUGGGAUAACUUCGGGAAACCGGAGCUAAUACCGGAGAAUAUAUUGAACCGCAUGGUUCAAUAGUGAAAGACGGUUUUGCUGUCACUUAUAGAUGGAUCCGCGCCGCAUUAGCUAGUUGGUAAGGUAACGGCUUACCAAGGCAACGAUGCGUAGCCGACCUGAGAGGGUGAUCGGCCACACUGGAACUGAGACACGGUCCAGACUCCUACGGGAGGCAGCAGUAGGGAAUCUUCCGCAAUGGGCGAAAGCUUGACGGAGCAACGCCGCGUGAGUGAUGAAGGUCUUCGGAUCGUAAAACUCUGUUAUUAGGGAAGAACAAAUGUGUAAGUAACUAUGCACGUCUUGACGGUACCUAAUCAGAAAGCCACGGCUAACUACGUG
rnacentral:rRNA from 1 species